GCAGAAUCUCCCUUGUAUUCCGUCGAAAUCCAAACAUUCCUUGACGGACGGCGUUCUGCCUCCGCCGCGGCCAGAUCGAUCUUCCGAGCGACGUUGGCUCGGGUCGCUUUAGAUUCCGGCCGAUUUUCCUCUCCAUAGAAAUCAGCUCGGUCAAUAUUUGGCGCCGCCUCUAGAAGAUGCUCAUUCAUCCCCUCUCUCCGACAUUUUAGGCGAAGAGCUUGUAAUUGUACUGCCAAGAUGAGUGCGAAUCGAGCCAAGGAUUUGGGGCUUCCAUUGAUGAAUCUCGUUAGGUUUAGAGGAAUACCAAUCUUGCAGCAGCUCCAUCUGGAAGAACAGCUCCUCAGAACAUUCUCUGGUAAUUGGUGCAUCAUAAACGAUGGAACGAAUGUCCCUACAGUUGUCAUGGGAGUGUCGGGGUACCGGUUAUUAAAAGGUUUAGCGGAGGUGGAACUGUGAUAGUUGACAAGGAUACCGUGUUUGUCAGUUUGAUUUGCAACAAAGAUGAUGUUCCUGGUGUCCAGCCUUAUCCUCGUUCU